UUCAGUUUCACCAAUAAACCGAAACCUCCUGGUCUUGCUCAAAAGAAACAUUUCAUUUCUGCUCAUGUAUAAUGGGAAUUACAUUCCACACAAAAGGGAUCUCAAAGCCUAUAAACAGUGUACCUUUUCAAUCUCUAAGGGACUUUCAUUCCUUAAAUGAAAUAUUAAUGAUAUGUAUUGCCCCUGAAUAGCCCCUUAAUACAAGUCAUAUGUUGAAAUGAUUAAAUGCAAUGGACUAGCGUAGUCUUUGCAAGAGUCCUGAUGGAAAACUUGCUAUGAUAACAAUUACUGAUAUAAGGCCCAUUUUUCUUUUCCACAGCUAGGCAAAGCCGCACCAUUCCCAUUUGCUGGCAAUCUGGGCUCUUUACGCAGAACAAACAUUCUUAAUAAACUGCCUUAAGCAGCAGUAGUCUAUAAUGGGGAGGAGAGGAAAAAAUAAAAUUCCUGGAAUUUAUUUUCUUUACAGGAAAAGCAAUUUGCAAAAAGUCGGUAAGCAUUUUGUUCAGUCUAGUGGAGUUCUUCGAGCUUUUGGAAGCUGAUCCCAAUGCACCUCAACCGUAUGCAGGUUUCUUGGGAUGAAGUAAUACAUUUCACUAAGACAUUCCCUCAUAACAGGCAAAAAUGCAAGUAACUUCACAGCUGUGAAUGUUUUCAGGAGAACAGGACAGCCCUAUGUUGGAGUAUGUGAGGGAGACUGUUCCUACUGCUGGUUUUAAAUCUGAACUCUGAAGCAGGAAUGGCAAAACAUGCGUUUCAAAAUGGAAUGAUCUAACUGCUUCAGCAAACCUACCAGAGCAAUGACUGUCUCUCCAGGUGAUACUGGAACCAAGUAUUGAAAACAGAGAAGGUAAGUUUUGUAUUCUGCUGCCCUUUCAUUUAUUUUUGUGAAUAUUCUCCAUAAAGAAAACGAUAAUGAUACAGUGAAGCCACAAUGUCACAUGACAACAUUUCCCAGAUGCUGAAUUUUAUUAUGAAUUUUAUUAUUUCACUGUAUUUAAAAGUUGGCAUGUGGCAGCUAACCACUUUAUUCUAAUAAGUACAUUUUCCUGCUUUCAAAAUAUAUUAAAUCAUCGCUAAGUAGAUCAAAAAUAUAAUCUCUAUAGACUUUUGUUGAGGAUCAAAAUAACAUUAAUUUCUAAUUCUUAAAUCAUUAGUAAUUAAGGUACUAAAAGGAGAUGUGUAAAACAGUAAAAGUGUGUCGUCAGUACACUCUAGGCUUAAGUACAACAGAUAAAUACUAACGUUAAUAUGCAACAUACAAUGAGAAAUAUUGCUAUUAAGUAAACUAAAGUAGUUGACUAAGUAUCUCGUGAUAAAGCAGCAGAAAACAAAUAAAAUUAGUAGAUAUUUGUUAAGCAUCUGGUUAUAAUGCAUGACCUACUUUAACACUAAAGGAGUUUUGCAUAUUCAUGCUGUACAAAAUGACCACAUCUAGAAAUGAUGCAAACAGAGAAAUUAGGUCGAUAGGAGGAUGAUUUACAGUACCACAAUUUCUGUAUGCUUUCAUUCGAAAAUGACAUCAAACGUCUUCCUGCAGCAAAUGAAGGACAGAAAACGUUCUUGUCCUUAACAUAAGUGAAAAUAAUCAGUAGUUUCUCAGGCAAAAUGCAGUUUACCAAAAGGUGUCAUCACGUGUGUCACACUGCGCUGGUAGCUUGCAGGCCCACAGAUUUCCUCUUUAGAAAUGUGUCCACAUUUACUUGCAACAGAAGGAUGAUCAGCAUUAGCUGCCCUUGUAAGGGAAAACAUUCACAUUGCCUGUGACCACUUGUCUGUUUACCCUCAUCGAAAUGUAAGGCAAACUUUAACACUGAUUUGAAAGCAUCUACUUUCUGUUCUGUGGGCACAAAGGAUUUCUUCCCCUUCUUUUCACAUAGCCAAAAAGACUAAACUUGGAAAGGAAUGAGAUUGAAGUGUUUGCAUUGGGAGCAGAGAGUGUGGUACAAGCAGCUUAAUAUGGCAGCCUUUUUCUUUUCUGCAUUUUACCCACUCACUGGUAAAAGCAAAGCAUUUGUUAACUGUUCGUAUCCAAAUGAAUAAAGUUACCUAUGUUAAAAACAGAACAUAUAAUCAGUACCUCAGAUGCUAAAAAGAGUGCUAUUCAUAAAUGUGCCCACUAUGGAUUUGUGCGUUAUAUUCACCUUAUACAAUCUUCACUGCUUACAGUGUGCAUAAUGCUGUUUUGUAUUUGAUGGACACAUUCAAUGGCUCAUUCAUUACAAAUUCUUGCAUUAAAAUGCAGUGGUAAAGCCAAAAAUACCCCCGCAUACUAGAAUUAAUUUGGCCCGACGUUUUUAAUAUUAAAUAUGCAAAACUCUUUUGUGUGAUUCACUAUCACUGUAAAUUAGCAGCUAUUCUCUUUAAAAAUGUUAAACCUUCACCAAAUCACAAACCAUAAACAUUGUUCCAUUUUCUCUUUUACACUGAGUCUCCUACUGAAUCCAAAUCAUCCGAAGAGAGUGGGCGAUACAGGUCCUGUAAGAUGAAGUGCAGUAUAGAUUUGUUUAUUGUGAUUGAUUUGUUGCACUGCAACUGUUUUACAAUCUUUUUGAUACUGUGGACCAGAAGAUCUUGUUUAACAUAAAAUACACAUUUUCCAUAGAAUCUUUUUUUUUUUUCCCCUUAUUUUCAUACAGUUCAUUUUUAAUCAACAAAUAGAUGGCUGGAGUUUUAAUGCACAAAACAUCCUGAGGCAAUUAUUUUUUCCUUUGAUUCUUUCCUAUUAAAUGCUACUGAGGCAAUAUUUGGCUUUCCUGAAGACUCCUAAUCCUUUGAAAACAUUGCAUUAUGAAUUUAACCUUUCUUUUUUUUCCCAAAUAGACUCUGUUUCUCUUUUUGCUGUUUUGUCAAAGUGGUAGGAAAGCAAAUGCUUACCUUCUAUUACAAAGUAAUCAAAACUUGCUACUCACUGGUCAUACAGCAUGGCUACAGCAGCAUUUGAGCUCCAAAUGCUAGCACCGAACACCACCCAUUACCGACAAUGGGAUCUCUUCCACAUUUUGGGGUAUGUGAGUAAAGAAACAGCAUAUGAAAUCCCCCAGUCACUGGCUCUUUCUGAUGGUAGCCAAGCAACCAGCUCAUGACAGCAGAGAGAGUCUGAGUGUACGGAUCCACUUCAGUUUUCCAACACCCACUUUGAGCAUCCUCUGACUGAUCAGAUUAUCCUCAAACAUUGGAGGUGUCAGGGGAUGAAGCAUCACCCUACUCAACCUACAUAGUACAUAAAGCUUCUCUGAGGCACACAAUAGCACAGAAUGGAAGAGAAGGUUGAACAUGAGGCAGCAUGGGCUGGAGUAGUACUGUUUUAAGGUGAAUUCAGCCUAUCUGGUGAGGUGGAGAGGUGGAGCAACCAUGUGGCUGGCAGUUCUCUGCCUCCCCAGCACAGCCAUGCACUGCUACUUUUAGGCAUUUCUGGCAUCCUUCACAUACAGAACGUGUUUACAAAGCAAAACAAAAUUAAUGCAAGACAAAACAUUGGGAAGACCUGCAAGAUACAAGAACGCAUAGGAAUGGGAAAGCUGAUGGAGCCAGCCUUAGGGGCUUUGUUCUUUUUCAAUCCUGGGAAGAAAACUGAGAGGGAAGAAAACAUUAUCUAAAUGCUGUGCUAUGAAACAAAAGCUACCUAGAAUGAAUUCUUUACAAAUUUCCAAUUUACAAGUCUCUACAUGAUCUAUGCAGAUCUAUGCAUGACACAAAAGGGAUUUUAAUUCCCUAGAAUGGGUUUUAGUUCCCUUGAACACUUGUUCUGUAUGGGCACGUGUACAUACAGUAAGCCAUGGCACUGCUACAUGCUUUAGAAAAUCAAGACUUGAAUAAGUUUCUAUUUUUGGUUGAACAAUCUAGGGAAAAAAAAAAAAAAAGACUUUCAAACAGACAAGCCCAUUCCAAGCUAGUUAACGACUAAAAGUCCUUUUCAGCACAUACAGUUCUGGAGUUCCUAAGAUACAGUACAGAAAAAAGAAAAAAAUGGAUAGCAACAUGACAAACUUUGGAAUGACAUCUUUUAAGUGACUGCUCACUCCUCUGAAUAAAAAAAAAAUGCAUUCAGAAUUUGCAAAGAAGUCAUUUUUAAAACUGACUUUUAAUAUCUGGGGAAUAUUUUUGUGUUGACUUUCAUACCUACAUGGUUGUUUUCAAGAAAAACCAUGCACGAGAUUUCAGGAUCGUACUUCCUGCCCUUCCAAGUAGCUUUAAGUACUUAAAGCAUUUUAAAGAUUUCCUUCCUACAGGAACGGUUCUUGCUUGUACUAUGUUGAAGAGCUGUACUUCUAAGAAAUAUGAGGAAAAUCUAUUCAUUACUUUGAAUAUAGAAAUAAAAAGGCAAAACUUGCUGAAUUAGUGUGAUUUCUUGGACACAGAAAACUGAAAAAAAAAUCUUUAUAUACCAUAACAUUCAACUACUUCAAUUAGGCAAGAGGUACCUUAAAUCUAUUUUUUUUUUAUCCUGUAGGUUGUAGAACAAAUGUUUAAAAUAAUGGCAAGCAACCGUAAAAUCAGAUACAAAAUAUAAAACCUUUCCACCCUAGUUUAAAUUCUAACACUGAUUGCAAGACACUGGAAAAGCAGUCUCAUAUACUAUUGAAAAACGAGUUAAAUAAAAUGGGGAGGGGGCUGUGGGGAGGGGGCUGCUAUUGUGUGUAUUUUUUAUUGUUUUUGCCAUGCCAUCAUUUCUUAGUCUUUGCCAUUAACCAUACUAUGUUGAGGCAGGAACUAUAACUAUGUUCAGCAUGGUAACUGUUUGUGCCUUAACUGUUAUAAAUCUGAAUUUGAGAUAUUUCCAUCCUCUUUAGAAAUACACAACUGAGUACAUAAUAAUUUAAGACCAAGAAUCUUAAUUCCUUAUUAAAAAUAAAGAAUUAAACUGUAAGAAAGCACAGUAGUUCAUAGGGUGCAAGUUUAAAUACUCAGAAGCUGAAAAACAUAAAUGUUACCACGAUCCCUGGUUCGCCUUCAAGUCCUUGUAUUACAUUAAUCUUUACUACAUUACUCUUGCCUUCAUUGACUGAAUUUCAACAGAGAUUAUAUGCACAACUUCCACUGACUUCUGAAUUUAUGGAAACAACUCAGCCAUAUGCAAGUGAGAAAGGAAGAAACUUUUUAUCUUCUAUGUUCUGGCUUUUGAGGGUCUAACAUUUUAUCAGUAGGGGUACAAUCGUACCAUUUUCAAGAUCGUAGUACAUGUAUCACAGCAGCAUUCUUGGCUUAAUUUACAGCAAUAAAAAGCCUUGUGUCAAAGGCCAGAAUUGACUUCUUUAAAGGGUGAAUGACAAAACGUCAGUAAGAGAAGUGAUCCCUACUUUAAGUUAUCUAAUGCAUUUCAUAAUUAAAAGGAGUAUUUUCUUUAGAAAAUUCUACCAUCUGUACUAUUUCUGUAGGUUUUUACUAUUCACAGGGAGCAAACCCUUAGUCCACACAGUUACUUCCAUUUCAUACCUCGGGAUUCAAAAGCAUGACUUCCUUCCUCUCACCUGUAUUUCCCGGGAAAAACAUUGGCAACCUGCCCAGAGCCCUGAGCAUUCUGAAGUGCCAAGGCUACAACUCCCUUGCAACACUUGGAUGGGGAUGCCAAAGAGCUGAUCUAUUGCUUACACCAAAGGGAAUCAGGCUGUGUUGGACUAAACAGCUCCUACAGCCCAUGCAUCUGAUGGCAUGAGGGCACUCAAACCACACAAGGAGAGAAAACAAAUUACAGAGCUGAGCUAGCAUUCCCAGGUCUCAGCAUCUUAUUUCAGUUCUAAUGAAGCAGCUCUCUUGAACUCCACGUUAAGAGGGAAACCCAGAAACCUCACUAUAAACUUUAACCCCAGAACUUUUGGGCAUAGGGCAGUAAAACCUCACUUCCCAACACUGGGGGCAAGAAAGGCAGUGAAAUCAGUCUCCUUUUCAGUGAUACCAAGACUCUGUUAGCCUCCCAGGGAACAGAUUUACUGCUGCAGCUGGCUAGUCAGCCCUGUGGUUGAAGACAAAGCAAAAUGCCCUGGGUUCAAAAUUCAUUUCUGACAUUAUGGUACAAAAAAUAACAUGUCCACUAAAGAAAACUCUAACAGGUACAUACAAAAGAUGGCACUAAAACAAAACAGAAUGCUAUUUAGAUUGCUAAAGAAAAUUUAGAUUAUUAAGCACUGUUUUUCAUACAGCUGAUUUAGUCAUUGCAAUACACAUCAUGACCUUUAAUGACACACUCAGAUGGUUUUGCAUUGGACUUCCAGCUCAUUCACUUCACAAAGUAAACAUGAAAGGAGCAGAUAUAAAUUCUCAGAGCAAGUGUAAAGUUUGCAUUCCUUAACUCCUCAGUACUUUCUUUUGUAAACUAAAUAAUACUAUACCAAUGUAUUUUUAUGUGACUGUAUUUCAUGUUUCUGCAGCUACCAUUUCUUGGUCUAGAAUAAAGUCAGACAAGCAAAGCUCAGAAAAGAUCCCCUACAGAGGUCACUGGGGCUGCAUAUGAAUAUCUGAGAAGAUAAUUCAACUCUUUAACAAUACCCUAUCUCUCCUGUAAUUUAUUUCAAUACUUGUUUUCUACACACUUAGCAAUGUGAUUAUGUUACCACUACACAGCCCUCUGCUGUUUAUAAUACUGAUCCUAUUACACUUUUACAUAGGGAACCUGCAUAAAAAGAAGCCUAUCUGCCUCACUCUUCACAUUUCAAAGUCAGAAACUUUGUGGAACAAUGCACCACGUGUCUGAUGGUGCAGACCACAUGAUUCCCACACAUAUCCACAAAUGCUCACAGAAAAACAUUUUUUCAGUGUGGAGAAAGUACUGUAAGUGGUGGGAAGUGAGCUCUGGAAAGUUACUAAUGAAAAGAGACAGUCUUACAGCAGAUGAAAAUCCACUGUGCGCUGAUACCAUCCAUCUUAAGAGAUAACCUUACUUCCCUAAUGUGUAAUUCAUUUAGAACUUUGUUCCCUCUUCGGUGACUUAUUAAUGAUUCAUUAACAAGCCAUGUGAUUAGGAGCAAAUGGGCACAGAAGAAAAUGUAUUCAAGAAGAUUUCAGUACUGACUUACCCAUCUGCAACCUGCAUCUUUACUCUGUACCAGGAGACACACAACUACCUCGUGGUUUCAAGCUGCUCCCACUGGCUAUCUCUAUACUGCAAGACCACAGAGUACUUCCAAGUCAGCUUCCAAACGUAUAAGGAAUUCAUGGCAGAAAUCCCUGGCAGUACUGCAGCCUGGGAUAAGACAUGAGCAUGCGCAAUCCCUCAGUUCCCUGGUAUCCAUGGAACAGAAAGAAGGGUACACAGGCCAGAAGGAAGCUGUGCCAUGCUUCAGCUACUCCUGUUCUGGGUGUUCAGGAAAUCAGGUCUGCCCAAGCCUCCUGAGGUAAAGCAGUGUCUAUUGUGUGUGUAAUAACUUAUUUAGAGAGAAACUUAAAAACUGAAAAGGCAUAAAAGGUCAUGUGUUCAAACUGUGUUUAUAAACAGAAGCCUGAGAAAUAGAGCACUGCCUUAGGGAAGCUUUCAUUGAGAACAGUUUAGAAAAUAGCAGAAGAGAAGAUACAGAGACAUCUGUCCCGUUGCUUCUGAACAAAUACCAAUAAUUAAAUCAACAUAUGGAGCCUUUUGGGUUGAACGAGUAAUAUUCUGUUAGGUCAUCACAGCAGUAAAAUACGUACUACCAUAAUUCUGCAUGCUUAGGUAUGCUGUAGAUUCUCUGUACAAUGCAAAACAGUAGUGGGAAGCUACAGCUGCUAACAACUCUGGUCCAGCAAAGUGAUUGAUGAAUCUUGUGCUGCCUUGGUACUCAUAAUAUCUUCACUGCACAAGGCUGUGUAUCACAGCUAACCCACAGCUAGAUUCCACAGUACAUUCUUUUACCUCACUUCAAAAUCAAAGCUGUCUGUAGGUUUUGCAAGUGACAUAAUGCAUGUGGAAAAUUUAGAAGGAAAAAAAAAGUCUUCCACAACAUGAGUAUUUCCUUUCAGUUGUGAAGUGUUUGGAAAAAGAUAUUAAAAACAAAAAGUUUUGUGAAAAAAGGAGCAAGAUAUCCCCUACUUUCUCUUGAGAAUAAACCAAACCCCAACAUACUUAGCAUUUGGACAGACACACAACAGUUGUAUCCCACUUAAGAAUGUUGUACGAACACAACAAGCACUAUAAGCCAGGCUCUUCCACCCUACGCCUCUAAACACAAGGUAUCACUGGGGAGAAGGUGAUAUGAGAGUGGCUGUGCUGGCCACUCUCAGAAAUCAGUUUCCUUAUUUCCUUACCCUCUGUUUCCGUAGGCUUCCUGGGCUGGUGGGAGAUGGGCUUGGAGACUUCCCAGAGCGGGGAGUAGAAAGUUGGCUACCAGGGGUUCCAUUCACUAAAAUGACAUUAAAUUGAGAAAAUAAAUACAAAGCAUUAUUAAAAGCAAACAAAUAGUUAAAUCAAGAUAUCUCAUUUGCUCUCACUCUUUUUUUAACAGCUUAACUUUUUUUUUUUUUCCCCCCAUGUUUUAAGCAUAAAAUAAGGUAAUUCACAAAAUAAACGUUUCCUCGGAGUUUUGGCUCAUGAAGCCAUUUUUCAUACAGGAUGCAAGCAAAUAAUGAAUCUGAAAAGGCUGUUUAGUCAAUGACUGAGAACACUAUCAUAUUUUCUUCACCAAUAUUGUUCCUGCACUUGAAAGCAAUGGAGAGCAAUGUGCUUUGUUAACUUUAGCAGAUAUUUACUGCAUUUAAACUUUUUCAUUCUGUUCAGUUAGAGCUUCAAGUACAACCCAUCUGAAAUAAAAAACAGUUCUGCUUUAAAGAACAAACCAACUGUCAGCUGUCCUUCAGCCAUUUGAAGAGAUUUUUGCAUUACUAUCUGACCCAAACAUCACCUCAGACUCAACCCAGAAGGGCUUUCUAGGUGCAAACAAAUUUGAUGUAAUAUCUCAGGUCUAACAUACAUCACAUCAUCACUUUCUCAAAUAAAUAAGUUCCUUCAGACAUGCCAGUGCUUAUAAUUGUAGAAGCAUCUUUUCAUGCAUGUGACAUUAUCCAUUAAAUAAACAAAACAAUACCAGCAGAGGACAGAAUUCUACCACAAAGUAAUCACUAUCAAUAAUGUUCACACUGAAGCACUGGUAGAAACACUAACAAGUAUGUAUCACACAUCUCUGUAAAUAUUCUCUAAGCAAGCAGUUGUUAUAUCACAGUCCAAAGCUAUCAGCAUCAGGAAAAAAAGAACCAACAAUUAGAUUCCUAGAUUCUGAGUCUUUGGAGAAUAUUUACAUACUAGGAUAUCAACCAGGCAUUUCACUUACCUUCUAUGAGUUCUAGCAUGGACAAAAUCUGACUGUUUAACCUGACAACAGCAAGCAGCAAAAUUCCUGCUCUGUGCUAUGCCAAGCUGUAGCAAAACUGAGAAGCGACGGGAUUAGUUAAGGAUAGCUGGGGCUGCUCACAGAGUGAGCUGAACGCGAUGCAGGAUUCAUAAGCAGAAGCCUUUUCUGCGUAAGGCUGACGUCUUCAGAGCAGCAGUGGGAGGUGCAGGUGCUGUCUUAGGGCUACAUCAAAGGUGUCAAUUAAGCAUAAAGCUGCUGCUUCACAACGCUGAGCCACCACAACCCCCACUCGCUUGCCAUGGAGCCCCGAAAGCCUGAGCAAUUUUAUAUGCUGUGCACUGAAUCAUAACGAGGUGCCUUUGGGGGCAACAUACCAAAUGACUCAUCUGGAAAUCAAAAUGACAAUAACUCUUGUAAAACCUUGGCUGACUGGCAAUCUAGCAAAUGCUAAUUCCUUUGGAUAACACAGUAGGUAUUUUAAAUGCCUUUUUCUUGCUUUUUACAUAAUACAUUGCUCUCACUGGCUAACACUGGGCCCAUAUAUUAUAAAGAAGAAACAGCCAUACCUACUACACUACGUGGAUCAAUAAAAUACAGCACACUGAGUGAUAAAUCACAACUACUAAAUAGUGAUUAAGUGCUAUAAGCGAUUGGAUCUCAACAUCAUUUUGUGCAAGGCACUGUUUAAGAUAAAGGUGCAUUUUCUUUGUAUAACCACACCGACAACAAGAAAUAGCAACUGUAUUUACAUAGAAUGCUUUUACAGAAAAUCAUUGCACUCAUCUAGGCUACAAACUCUCUUUGUACAGAAGACAAUGGUUUGUAUAUAUCAGCACUGAUUCAAAUUUGUCCAAAGCAUGUGUGGGGGAGCAUAUGCAUAUGGAUGGACACAUUCACUGAAGGUCACUUCGGCAAGAAAAACACACAUAGCUCUGGCCAAUAGUACAGACUACAACUAAAACUGAAGUUAUUAUCAGGACUUCUGAAAACAAUUAUGAAAAGGGAUACAGGAAAACAUCAAAAAAGAGUUUUCUGUAGUCACAAACUUUUAAAGUUUUGAAGCAUUUCUUCUAAACAAAUCUGUUAUUGUUUAAGAAACUAAUGUUAAAACUACUGCAGUUCACACAGAGCUAGAUAUCAAGACUGCUCAGUAGUAAGACUUCUGCUCUGCCUUCUGUUUAAACCCAGCAGAUUUUCUUAUGCUUAAUUACUAUUUUAGAGAAAAUUUAAGACAACAGAUAUACUUUAAUAAAAUCCAUUAACACCAGGCACAAGUUCCUUUUCCUUAUGGAUUGACUUCGCCAUCACUUGAUCAUUAGUUUCUCCCAGUUAGUUAUUUCCCAUUACUACUGUAUUUUCUUAUUUUUCUUCUCUUAAAGAGAGAGACUUGAGGCUACCAACUGAACCAAACAAACAGAUCCAAUGGUGCAUUUGACUCGAUGCGUUUCCCACAUGUACCAUGUUGCUUGCUGUUGUAACAUGAGUUGUAUCAUCUUCCAAGCAACUAAACAUCCAAGUGACUAAAACAGCUGGUGAGCCAUGUACCUGAAGUAUCCACUGCAGUGUAGACUUCUAAAGUCAGGUAAGAUGAAUCCAAACCUGAGCACUUGAAGGACUGGAAUAUACUGGAGACUAAGCAAAAUUCUCUCCAUCUACCAAUUUGGGUGGAUUUUAUAUCAAGCACAGAACUCCAUGAAGUAAACUCUGAUGUCUGAAGGCCAUAUGGGUUCUGCAUUAGAGUCAACCCAAAAUGGGAUUUGGGUGAUGUGGAAUCUAUUCCCAGCUGUUUGUAUGCUUCUGCGUUAACAGCAGACAUAACUCAUGUCAUCCCAACCAUUUUUCUACUUAGGCUUCGAGUUCUGACAGAAUGAACUCUCCGCACACAUCACGUUGUCUGUCUUCUGGGUGCUUAAUGCAUGUGGAGAUAUAUAUUUAUAUCACUCCUAAUUAACAUGAUGCUUAAGAGAGAGAUCGCAACCAGGAAGAAAUAGAAAUUUCUCAUAAUUCCUCAGUUCACUGCAGGGGCUGUACUUCUUUAUUUACUCACCUAUAACUUCCUGGCUAUAAACUACUCUAGUUUCUUACAAAUCAUUAUAUUGAAUUUGUAAACUGAGUUGAUAUUACAUACGGUGGAGCAAGAAGAGGUAGGACUGAUUGUGACCACCUUCCUCAACUCCAUUUACAAUCAUGACAUCUUUCUCACAUAUGCAGCUUAUGAUCAGAUAACAUGGCAACAAAAAUGAAUAAAACCUGUAACAUUUCUGUAUUUCUGAACUGCCCAAAACUCUAUUUCUAGGUUGAAUGCUUUCUGGUUUGAAACUGCAUUCCUGUCCAGUAUCUGCACUACAUUUCUCACUGACUGACUGAUACAGUACAUUCCUACAGGGAACUGUGGUGUAGAUAAAAACAUAUGAAAUUGGUAAAUCACUGUUGUGAUUAAUCAUGUUCUUGAGCGAGGGAAGAGGUUUCUUGUCACUUUUACUCAUAAAAAGGCAGGGGUCAGAGACAUCAGCCCACCACACUGCCUUCUCAUUGUCUCAUGAAAAAGAUUUAUCCAUGCAAAAUUUCACAGGUGAAGUACAUAUUAGAAAGCUAAAAUAAUAAUAAAAUUAUUGUGGCUGCUCUGAAAAAGCAUAUGCACGGUCUCAGCAGUUGUGAACUCCUCUUUUUAACUGUCAUCUCUUGAUAACAGGGCAGCAGCCUGUCUUUUCACUUGCUUUUGCAGGGUCUGGAUACCCACAAAGGCAGAAAGAAACCCACAAAAUAGAAUACUGAAUCUGGAUAUUAAUAUCUACUGAGAUAAAUGGAAACCUGGUUUUCAUAUGAAGAUAUUUAAAAACUGGUGGAAAUGCUGUAAAUAGAGUAUCUUGAUAGCAUUCCAAUAAAUAAGCCAUCUUGAUAGUGCAUCUUUUUAUUAAGUAAUGAGAACAAAAAGUGAGAGAAGUUGAAUUAAGCUAUCAAGUGCCAGUCUGACAAGCUGCCAUUGCCACUGUACUAUAUUAAAAUCAUACUAUCCCAUAAAACUGCCUGCUAAUGUGUUAGCAUUUGUAGACUAUAAAAUAUAUUGAGAUUACUGUGUUUAUGAAAGUGGUUUGCCAAACACAAAAGUGCGUGUGUGAAGAGGAAAGAGGAGGCUAAGAGCCGUGAAGGCCGUUUUGUAACCACAAAGCAUUCAUGAUUAAGAUGUGCGACAGUCUAAACUGAAAAAAUGAUUUACAGAAGUUACAGCAUGUGUAUGUCAUAUUCAGCAACUGUUAGCUAGAAGGUGGUGAUGCCAGGUAACUACUUGACUUUGCCUCAGUUACUCCUGUAGUUUGUCACUGUCCAUUUCAAAACAAAGCUUUCUUUCAAGAAGAUUACGUAAUUACAAGGUGUUUUGGGAACAAGACCUUGGCAUUUAAUUCUUUCUGCUUUUGUAUUCUGUUUGUAUACAAUUUGUAAUUUUUGUCUGCAUUGCAAAAGGGAGAGAUUGUCCAGAGCGCCACAUUAAGCAAGUAGCUUCAUUAUCGCUCCCUAGAAAAGACAAGGUUUUGCAGGUUUUACCUAAGCAGUAAACUAGUUGGAAUAAAUAUGAAAUAAUCAGUACUGCAUUUUUUUAAGUGGUACUAAACUGCUCCUUGUACAUUCAGACUUUCCUAGAGUUUAUGUCAGAAGGCCACAAUACAAAAAGAAUCUCUCUCCCAUAAUAGACAAGGACUAAGAUUUCCAUAAAGAAGUUUUCAGUUCAUCAAUAGAUGAGAAAUGCCAGCAGAAUUACAAAAUAUCCACACAAGAGGCUCGGCAGGUCCUCACACACACAGGGCACACUGCUCUUCAUGGAGUGAUCUCAACAAUGGCACUUCUGCUGUAACCAAAGUUAAGUUACAGACAAGCUACAGGCACCAAAGUGCUGCAUACAUGGACAUGGCAGACAUGCCCAAAACCUCAGAUGACGAAAGCCAUCCUUGAAAACACAGUUCCCUGCAACCCAGUAACUUUCCUGUAGCCUCAGAAGGUGGCUAAGUAGUGCUUUAUUUAGACAGCAUCUACAUGUAUGUAAGAUCUAAGCAAAAUCUUUUGAACUAUGUUGCCUGAUUGGAAAGACUACGAUUCGCUCAGUCCAUGUGAAUGGAAUACCAACUUUAAGGAUGUUUCUUUAUUAUCAUUUAACUUUUUCAUCCUGUAAGAGGGUCUAACUAAAUCUACUCCCCUUACCUACUCUUGAUUCUUAUUAUAAGCUAUAAAAUGAAAAUAAUAUAUAUUUUUAAUGAUUAGUAUCAAAUACCAAUAGCAUAAAUGAAAAAUUAAAAGGAAGCCAGGAUCAAAGAAAAAAUCAUCUGGAAACCUCUGGGUUCAUAGGAUGACUCCAUCACUCCCAUGGGUUUGUACUCCUGGCUUCAGGAAAGUUUUGUUUCAGCAUAUUCAUUACAAAAUCUGUCAGCUGAGUAUCUGUAAUAGUGUGAAUAAAAACAGGUGACCCCGUCAAAGAAAAUAUGAUAUGCCAUGUUCCUUCCUCUGGGAUCUAAAAGACCUUCUUGAGUCAGGUGGCUGAAGAAGGGUUGUUUCUGGGUAACAGCCUACGGGUGAACAAUCAAACUAAAUGAAAACAUAUCUUCUUACAAAGGAACACAUCCACUUUUUUUUUUCUUUCUUUCUUUCUUUUUCUUUUUCUUUUUUUUUUAAAUUGAUGAAGAAAGUAAAGUAUAAGCAUCUGCUCUAGAGAAGCUUUCAGUAAGAUCCAAUUUCUACAUCCUGGAACACUUUUUUUUUUUUUUCUCUAGGGAACAUCUACAGUUUUGAUCAGCUUUAGUUUGAUGUGUAACUUCACAAAGCUUUCGCCCAGAUGCAAUUUUCAUAAAAAACACCCAGCCUGCCCUUCUUAAUACAACCUACUUGAGACAUUCUUCAUAAACAUUCCUUCUGUCAAUUGGAACAGAUAUGUAUAAGGCAAGUUACUCUUGCAAUAAACACUUGUCUCACAAAAUAACCAAAUUCUUGAAAUAACUCUUCUUAGUACCACACUUGAGUCACUGUUACAAAUAAGAUUUCAGCCAUUUGAAAUAUUUUAGGUGAUAGUUUGAGGGUGACAGGAGAAAGCACAGAGGGGAUGAGAAGUGAAAAAGAAGAAAUUCUGAAGGAGGCGCUCAAACUGAAAAGAAGUCAUUGCUUUUGUUAAGAGCAAGUCCUCAAAACUAUAGUUUGUAUUUUGGUGCCUAGAAUUCAUCUGAACGCAGUAACUUUCCUUUAAUUUAAUGGACUAAGGAUGCAAUAAUUCCAGCUCAUGCUGCUCUUGAUUUGAUUAAAAAUAAUGAUCAUGAAGAAGAAAGCAUUGCUUUCUUCGAAUCUCGUACCUCUACACCUGCACUGAGGCUGCCACCAGUGGUGUUAAUUAGUAGCUGGACGGAAGCCGACAGCUACUGAAUUGCUGUCAGAUGUUUAUACUUUGCAGUCACUGGCAAUGUGCUGAUACCUGGCCUCACUGAAAUUCAACAUCUCUUUCAUGAUAUCCUUUCCUGAGUAAUAUUUGAUGCCAACAACAAAAAAAAAAAAAACAUCAAAGUGUUUUACAGGCUUUGAGAAGAUAUCAGAACAAUUAGAGGCAAGAUUAUCUGUUGCACAUGGAAGUAGACUUCAGCAUUCUGUCUGCUUGUGAGGUGAUGCUGCUGCUCCCUUCUUUAUUCCCUGCUUCAUUUUGAAAUUCAGACUGAAAGCAUUUUGAAGCAGACAAUACCUCAAAUGCAUUUGUAAAAAACCAUAAAGCAAUCCUCCUGCAGUGAGAUUUCUGUCUUGUGGUACUGUUUUGAAACACUGUCAGACGUAAACAAAAAACUGAACAAAACACAUAAUAAUGAAGUCAACCCUUACCACAGAUCUUAAAGGCUUGCGUGUACUCUUUUAAGAAAUAAAGCCUUCUGUGUUUUUACAGAAAUAGAGGAUUCAACUGCUCUCAGGAGCCAGGGAGGCUACCAGGAAAACCUAAGUGUAGUAAGUAUAUCAUGUUUAAAAACUAAAGGGAAAAAGCAAGACUGAAAGAAAGGUGAACAUCACCUAUCUAAAGGUUUACAGUUCUCUUAAAUAUGUCAAUCAAUGGAGUAAAAGCGGACACUUUUUUUUUUUUUUUUUUUUUUUUUCUCAUUUUAGGUUGAUGUCAAGAAAGGGUGAGGAGUGUGCAUCUCCCACUCCCUUACAGAUGAGUCUGUUUAUCCUUGCUCUCAAUUGCAAAUGUGAACCUGCAUCGCCCUAAGUCCUGGUGGAGACUCAGGCAUCACUAAGUGCACUAAUCUCUGCAACCCUGCAGCCUGCUCUCCACUUGUAGCUCUAUCCUUUCCCCCCAAACUGCCACGGCUGUGUACCCCUGAACCUGUAGGCCAGCAUUUUCCUUGUUCUCAUGUCCUGAGCUUUCAGGCUCACUACUUGAUAGUUCCCAACAAGGGGCUCACCAAGGACAAGGGAUUCAGCUUCUUUUGCCUGCUUCUGCACACAACCAGGGACCACCAAGACAAGGUGAGAUUGAAACAGGAGGCUCUACGCAUUAGGCUCUUCAAGCAGGAUUUUCUCUAAAAGCCACUUGUAGGCAUUACUGAAUUGAACUUCAAAGCAUCAGUUAUGGUAAAAAAGGUAUUUCUCCAAAUUACAGAUGUGAAACUGAGACACACACAUUAAAAAUAACCAGCCAACCAAACCACAACCCCCUUCAAUUUCUGUGAGCAAUUUCAGAAACUAUUGAGACAAAUGUGGGCAACUUCAUAACACUGCUUGCUCAGAACAAACACCGCAUGGACUUUGCUGCAUUUGGUUCAAGCCAAAGUUAGGCUUAGUUCACAUCAUUUACAACUCUGUCACAAACAGUGGAACAGUUCCUGAGAACGAUACUCAAGUGCUUAAACCAAAGUACUCUGUCUACAUUUCCCAGCCUCACUCACCACCUCAGUCACAGUGUGCAAAUGAAUCCAACACAGUACCUUUGUUAUCUUUAAAAAUUAUGAAUUUCUGUUAGCUAUUCUGUGCUGGAAGGAAAAAAAAAAGUCUACCUACAUUAAAAAGCAUAACAUACUAUAGAUGUAUAUACGAGAGAAUUAAAGGUAACUCAAUGAUUUCCCUUCAUUUUAGAAUUUGGAUUAUCCCAAUAAGGGCAAGAACUAAUGAGUGAACCAGGCAUGCGAUCCUUUUCCUUGUCAACCAUGUGCCAACUUUUACGAGUGGAGCAAGAAUCUACCAAGAGGAAUCAGAUUCUUCCUAAUUAGCUACUCAUUUCUCUGUAUAUAGGCUCACAGCCUUUUUUUUAAGGGUACAAUUUAAGGAUUCAAUUGAUAAUGUUUUCUGGCCACCCUAUAUCACUAUUUUUCUCAACUUUCUGCCUGAUACAAAGUUCUUCCUUAAUAAAGUUGUGGGGGGGGGGUUGAAACGAGAUGAUCGUUAUGGUCCUUUUUAACCCAGGGCAUUCUAUGAUUCUAUGAAAAAAAUAUGCCUUUCUUUUGGAAUAUAAAUAUAGCCUAUGAUCAGGACAGCUGAGUUCUUCUCUACUAUUUUUUAUGUUUAUACCUAAUGAGAAAAAAAUCUAAGACAGUAAAGAUGAACUAAAAGCAGUUUAAUAGCACAGAGUAAAAGACACAUAUAUAAACUUAGCAGUAACAACCUGACAGCAGAAGUGUAAACUUAUGUUUUAUGUGCUGGUCAUUUAUGAGACUCUAAUAGUGAGAUAUUUAAUGUAAACAACAUGCAAAAAAAUUAUCUGCUCAUAUAUGCUGUUGACAGUAAUUGUUAUAUUCUGUUGCUGUUACAUAUACGUAAUUUCAAUAAACAGGCACUAUUGUUAGGCCUACUGGAUGGCAGAACAGUGAAAUCUGUAUGACGUCUCCACUUCAUGGGAGAAUUUUGUUUUUUCCCUAUUACCUAAGUGUCUGUACUUUAUUUCCAUUAUUCUCUUAUUGCAGUGUCUAACAACAAACUGUGUAUUUACAACAAAAUCAUUGAUUUUUUUUUUAUUUUUAUGUUUAUAUUUAUUUUACUUUAGUUACUUUCUGCUCUCUGUAGGAGAUUUAAAGCUUAUUCAUCUACAUUUCCCAAGUAUGUUUAAGUAAAAACAUUACUAUUUAAUGCAUGGCCAAAGCCAGUAAGGGAUCAUAUAGUCACCGUUGAAAAAAUAAUGCUAGUCUCAUGGCAGAAACAUUUUUUAUGCACAGUAGGACUGUUUUUCCAUACAAAAAUGAACAUACAUAUAUCAGUGUCCAUAACCUGUACUCACAAAUAAAAAUUACUGGCGGAAAAAAACAUCUGUAAUGUCCACAGACCAAGUAGAACCUCUUUUGCUAAAUUUUCAUUUAAUUCUGUACCAUCGAGCUACAAAUAAAAUAACUUGAAGUAUGUUUCAGAGAGAGUUAGUCUGUGUGCUUCUUCCUCACAACUUAUACUUCUUUCCAUCACCUUUUUUCAAGCUUCUCUAUUUCAGAUGUUCUUAAGACAUGUGGGAGGCACACUGCAUCCCAGCCCUCCUACACACAGAUCUACGCCUCUGUCUUUCAUUGUGUCACCCCCACUUUCCUCCUUCCCUGAUCAAGAACACAUUUUUUCUCAGUCUACUCUUGUGAAAAAUAUGGUUCCACUUGGUUCACACUUCCCCUCUUUGAAAGCAUCUAGGAGCUCCUUGGCACCUAGACCAUUCUGAUUGCCACCUGCCUUUCCCCUGAGGGCAUUAUGGUGUUGGAUGCAGGUAAGAAACAGGUUCUAGUAUGAUGUUUGUUUCUCUGUAGGCAGAAUACUUAAGGCAAGAAAGAGUGAGGCGACUUUCACACAGCUCUAAUGUUUGCCUCUUAGAAAAUCCAUAUUCACAAGUAAUGCUGCAACUGCUGGACUGGGUCUACUCAACUGGCUCAUACCAAGUAUUAUUUGUACUUAUGAGGAACGAUUCGUGCUGGCUUCAAUACAGACAAAUUAUCUAAUGUACUUCUUUUACUUAUUUGUUUCGAAAAAGCUGUGGGGAGGAACUAGUCAUAGACUGCUUACUAGGAGAGUACAAAUAAAUAAGUCCCUCCAGGCAGAAUUACAACUUAUUAAAGCUUUUGUUGAUCCUCCUCCAAUCUGUACCACUGGCUUGUUCAGUCAACUCUGACUUGCUUCUUCCUCAGCUAUCUUUUAUCUCAAAUUCACAUCUGCAUUUACAUUUUGUCUUUGCCCUUCUCCUCUUUCUCAGUAUGCUUAAUGUCUUUAGCCUGUUCUUUCCUCACUGCUGUAACUCCCUCAGAAACAAAAUGCAAAAAAAAAAACAACCCUGAAAUCUUCCAUGUGCAGAUACAGGCACUACACUGAGUGACUUGACUACUUUCUGCACUGUUUAUUCAGUUCUUAGUAGAAAUACUUCUUUCUGUCAGUCCUUAUCUACAAGAAACAAAAUCACGCGAGAACAAUGAAGGAAAAUGAAGAGCAAUGCUGGAGAAUAAUCUAUAAAGUAGUAAAGAAUUAUUUUAUAUCAGAAGACAUUUCAUCUCAUGUUCAACUGAGAGAAUAAGUGAAUUUUUACUAUCAACUAUUUUAUAUUUUACAGAAAUGUUGUAUUUUAAGCACACUGCCAGUUGCAUUUAAAGAGAUUGCUUGCUGUUUUUAAGAAGAAAUUCUUUCUUGCUUUACCUGAGCUGGUAGAAGCAGGAGACUUGCUGCGUCGGGAUGGACCUGGGCUCUUGGUGGUGCUCCUUCGUGAACUUGAAGCUAUUUUGGUAUAGGAAGUAGAUUUCACCACUCGACAUUCUAAAAGACAAAGAAAUUGCAUAAGUUAGCAAUUAAGAAAGCCAGCAAGAUUCUGAAACAGAAAGAGCAUGAAAAGCACAAACAUUAGCCCACGCUUGUUUUCAUUCAGCUUGAGGAGUUUUGCGGGAAAAUAUAAAAUCUGUAUAAAUGACUCCAUUAAAAUCCAAGUACAGUAUGUACCACGUUUCAGACAAAGAACUGCUGCAGUAAUCCAGACUUUCAGAUACCAUGGUUACUGCAGGUACUUAGGACAGCUUAAUUUAAGAGUGCUGAGAUGACACAUAAAAUUUAUUUGCUUUUGAAGAUUUCAGCACAAAUAAUGCAGUGGUUUUCUGUAAAUGAUUUAGUUGCAGUGUAAGCAUUUUUGUCAGCCUGGUAGUAUCCUCUAGAAGAACUGGAAGGCUGCUUUUAUAUAUCAAAAUGUUAAGACUGUACAAGAUGACGCAGGUGUCUGUCACUCAUGAAAGGUUUGAAGAAAGUGAAGCAGGUUUGUUGCUCCUGCUUAAUCCUCUGGUGAGCAACAGCCCACAUUGUAUAGCACACGCAAUUCAUCAAAGGUUGAGGGAAAUGGCACUACUUGCUCAUAAGAGACAUCAGUAAAAUCAGUGAAGAGGCGAAAUUACCCUCCCACUUGAGAACACUGCAAGAUGUUCAGGUUAGGGCUUAUAUACACCCACACAGCUCUGUAGGCAUUCUUGCAUUACGCCUGCAAAAUGGUUCUUGGCCUGAGGAUGAAAGAACUCAGUGUGCAUAAAGCUGAUGUCUUGCAGUCAUAAUGGAUACUAAAUUAAUCACUAGACAAAUUAUACAGUCAGGACCAAAAAAAAAAAAAAAAUUCCACUUCUUAGCCAGUAUACAAUUAGAAGUCUGCAGCAAUGUUUAUACUGCAUUCACCUCAAAAUGUCAGUAUACUUCACUUGUUUAAAAAUAAAUAGACAUUUAUUUCUGUAUCAGACCUGUUCCCCAUUUUCUUCCCAUGGUUAUGUUUCUCAAAAUAGGUUAAAAGAAAUAAACACGAUUUCUUCUUUCUCCCUAGUAAGAAAAUACUAUGUGCAAGCCUGCACAUUAUUUAGUCUCCACAGAUGAUCAGUGAAGCCUGUAACAUAGUUUAGACAGAUUAGAGAACAAAGAAAUAAAAUUGAGCAUAACUAAUUAACUUAAAUAUCUCCACCAGUGAAUGAUGUCAUGAAGUGUAUUUCUCUUGGCUGCCCUAACUGCUUGUCUGUCGUCAAGCUGUUGAAGAAGAUGGAAGCAAGAACUGAUGCAUUACUGAAGGAAUGUCCAGCACAUCUGAGAGCAGAGGACCAUAGAAAAGCCCUGGUCCUCCCAAAGAAAUUUUUCUUCCCAAACUCCUCCACCUUCCUAGUGGCCAGUAAUAGUAGUUAAUUUUUUUGUGUUGACAUUGUAUGUGAUUCAUUUAUUGCUAAUCCCAUUACAUAUCAAGUGACGACUGGAAAUGGAAGAAAACAUCUACUCUGUUGUAAUAGCUGAUUAUCAACUGAAAACAGGAGGAAAGAGAUGAAAGCCUUCAGAUAGACUCAAACAGGCAACCACAUCAGAAAACUUAUAUGAUGUACUUGCAUAAAUGGGUGUUUCAGAAAUUGUCUAUAAAUUUCAAAUGCAAACAGGUUCUUUACCUUGUAAACAAAGACUUAAAAUGUCAAAACAUCUAACUGCCAACUUCUUUGAUUUUGUAAAAUUAAGAUGUUAUCCUAGUGUAGGAAUUAGUCAGGAAGGUAAUUGAAUAUUCUAGGGGUCAAUGAGCAAAAAGACUAAAAUAAUGUCAUCUAGCGAAGGAAAACCAUCAGGCUAUAUUCACUUGCUUAGUAAAAAAAACCUUAAGAGUCCGUGAGGAAAAUAGCCAGCUACGUAAUGUAAUAUACUUUACUGUACAUGAGGCUUUCCUUUCCUUUCAUCAUAUGAAGAACAUGGCAUCUGCAUCCUUUCUUGCAAUUCAUGCUAUAGGCUGCACUUUAUCUUUCAUCUUAUUGCAAUUAUUAAUACCUACUUAUGUUUUGAAUACCUUAUAACCACCCAGACUUGUAAUGAGGUUAGGGAUAAGAUUCUACAUUCAAGGGUGCAUUCCCAGUCACAUUAUUGGAAAGAAACAGGCAGAAGGUGGUGUGAAAGGUCAGAAGAGGUAUCUACAUGCACAUCAAAGUUAUGUUUCUGGCUUACAAACAAAAUCAUGCCUCGGCCAAUAAUCAAGAUAGCACUUGGACCCAGCCUGUUCAGAAAUGUGAAGUAAAUAAUAAAGUGGGAAAUGAAGAUGUGUGUGAACUGAAAGAUGGAGGCAUUUUGUCACUGAGCACAAACUGGAACACAGGAAGUUCCCUGUGAUUUUGUUUUACUUUGAGGAUGCAUUAAGCACUGGAAGAAGCCACAUCCAGUGCUCUUUUCCCCUGAAGAAGUCCAGAGACAUAGCAAAAUCUCCAUCCUUGGAGACACUCAGAAGUCAUCUAGAAACAGUCCUGGAAAACCUUUGUUUGUUGGACAAACUAUUACUCUGCUGCCAGCUGCAGAAAGGUCUGAACUCCCAUGAACGAUUUAUGUAUGCAAUGAUACUGUCACAUUAAGUUUGGAGAAUUAAGUUUUACUGCAGGCAAAGACCUCACUCAGUAAGGACACAACCAUGGCUUGCCUCCUCUAAGACAUUACCAUAAUCUGCCUGUUGCUAUUGGAAAACAAUCUGUAUAUAAGGAAGGGAAAAAGGAACAAAAGUGCAUUGUUUCUAAAACCAUAUUUUCUAUUCAGUAUUUACACUGGCAAAGAAAUCAUAGAAUCAUAGAAUCGCUAAGGUUGGAAAAGACCCACAGGAUCAUCCAGUCCAACCAUUCGUAAAUAAACACUUACUCUCUUCUCAUCAUCAGAUAACUCUGAUAACUGUACAACAGGUGCUUGGUAAGCCACGAAAUGGAUUUUUUUCCCUAAAUAUCUUUUGAUGCCAAAACUACCAGAAAUAGAUCCAGACAGAUGAGAGUUAUGCUCUUUCUCACACAUGUGGGCAUGCUCAGCCAAGAAGACACAAUAUUUUUCUAUAGUAUGUUCAGUGAGGGAAGAAACGUUUCACAAAGCCCCAGUCCUUCCUCUCACUAGCAAUGAAGAUUAAAGCAACAAAAUGAUGAUAUCCAUGGUAACAUGAAGCAAAAGAAGGUCAAUUUCAAGGUCUGAUCACAGACUUUAUUGCUUUCCAACUCAGUAUAUCAGAUAAAUAAGAAUGUUUCUCCAGCCAAAACAUCUUGCAAUAAGAUGUUUGAUUGUAUAACUACAGACAGAGCGACAAAGCAGAAGAGGUUAACAUAGCAAAUCAGCACUGAGACUAACAAUGUAACACACUGCAGUGUCUCUCUAGCAAGGGAUACUACCAUGGGCAUCUGGGGCAUUUAAUGGACUUUUAAAAAUAAAGCUGAGAAAAACCAGGAAAUACCCCAGGGCUACUACUUGACAUGAGGGACCUCAGGGUCAAGAUAAGGGAUGGAAAGUGCCUGAGAUUGCACAGUGAUGCCACUGAGUGCACCUACUGGAACAAGCAAGAAGCCCAACAUCCUUGUGUGCUCCUGAUUCUUCCUAUUGUCAAAUGCAUAAAAUGUUAUCAUAUGGUAACCAUGGGACGCUAAUGCGCAGAAUCAUAAUGCCUCCAAUCUCCAGCUCUGUGAUGUUCCACUUCCAAAAUGCUUAAUUAGCUUAUGUGUUCAUUAGAUUUUACAACGGCAAGAAAGCAGCAGAGAAUAACUAAUCCACAAUAAAUACGUCAGAGAAUGAACAAAGUUAACUUUUUUUUCCAGAAAAGGUUGUGAAAAGUUGUCUAAAUUGCCAAGAGAUCAAAAAGGUUUACUUGUCAGUUACUCAGAAGUUGACUGCAUGAACUUUUUGAGCUUUUUUUCUGGGUUAAAAUACCACUCUCUGUUGCAUUUUGUCUUUUUUGAGGCCUGUGUGUAAGGGACAGAUAUUUAUUUUUUGGUAUCCUUGCCAAUCUGGUUCUCUAGGAUGAGAACAUUUAACUUGCUUCAGCAACAGCUGCAUCCUACAGAUAAGCAAAGCGAGAGGAUCAAGGAUGUCCAUGCUUGUUGGUAAGCCACUUUACUGUAAGCCUUAGGCUGGUACCUUUUACCACUGCUUAACAAUGUCAGCUUCAGUAUCCAUGUCCUCAGGCCAAUCAGUAGAUCAUUACUCCAUACUUUUCUUUUUAAUGUUGAGUGAUUUGUUCCAUGUAUCUAAUCAGUAAUGCAGCUAAUAAGAUUUUACUUUUUUGCUGCGUUUAUGCCUUCAAUUAAAACCAGUAAUCUUCUGUUUGCAGAACUAAAUUUUACUCUCUUCAGCAAAAGGGAAAUAGCAUCAUCUUCUCUAGUAGCACUGAUAUAUAACGUAAUUCACCCAACCCUACUGAUGAAUCAGAGACAGCUAUGGCUUGCAAUUACAAAAUGCUCAUAAGGGUAACUAUCAACCAGCUUCCAGAAAGGAAAAGGAUAUAAGGAGUUGUGCUGGGGUUUAAGUAAUUUCUAAUCUUCUGUUUUCAUGGCUGUGUCGACUUUAAUUUUGUUCUUCCCAUUCAAGGUGUUUCUGAUGUAGAUGAACAGUGAUGUUUGAGCAGAAUACAAAACCCUAAAGUUUUGUCCCAUGCAUUAAGCUAUCUGCUACUGUAAUUACUCAUUUUUGUGACAUCCUAUCAUUUGAUUUGAUUUCUAACCACUUUUCUGCUCGUUAUGAGGAUUAGGAUCCCUGACUAUUUAAACUGUGUCAAAUUUUUGUAGCAGUAAAUAAAUACCUAGGUUUCUUUCUUUAUCCCUGAGAAGCAUGCUUUUAUUGGGAUAUGAAAUAUAAAAAAGUUGAAUUUUCUUUAAUGUGAAAGGGUGUUCUCCAAUUCUGAAACUAGGAUAAAUGUUCAUUGACAAAGGAAAAGCUUCAUACAAUAACUUCCAAGCUUUUAGGAAGCCGAGUAGCUUCACUCAACCUAAUAAUGUAUUGAGAUGUUUUACUUCUCAAAAACGGUUGGUAAGCUAGAAAUAGUGAAGGUAUUUGUGAAUCUGACUGGAAUAUCAUGUAAUAUCACUGAUAUCUCAUUCUGUUACAUUUCCUAUUUUUCAAUGUUCUUAUUUGCUUUUCAAUUCUGUGAAGUCAUCCAGAAAGUUUUCUUAAAAAGGGAAACUGACUUUACAUAUAAUCAUAACACUUCAAGAAUUUCCUACUUUAUCUUCAAACAUGUUCCUGUAUGCAUAACUCAAAGAUGAUGUUGGCAGGAUGGAACUCAUUCAGAAUUAGACAGCUAAAAAUACCAUGCACAGCCAUCAACUAUGCACUCUACAAUCCUUCCAAAGUCAUUGGAACACAUUGAUAAGUAUGAGUUAGAAAUCUUGAUGCUUUAAAACAUAAAUUUUAUUCAUGAAAUGACCAGAUAUAAAUUACAGAGUUGGAGAAUUGGUGAACAUACCCUAAUUACAAGCUUUGUAUGGGCUCUUUUACUACAUGCAUAUGGUAACAUAAUUUUUUUUUCUGUAUUCUCUGAUCUUGCUGCAAAUAGAUUUUACCUUCCUACUUUCUUCUCCCAACCACUUUGUCAGAAUCAUCUCACACAAACCUCCAUGUUUUCUUUCUUUGCUACAUAAACACUGUAAUGUUAAUUUUUUCUUUUGUAACAGAGAGGUAAAAACUCCACACUAGAGCAGUGAUAAUACGGAGUUAAAAAAAAAAACACAAACAUUUUUGUCACCGAAUACCUUCACUAAAAAGACACAGUAACUAAAUAUAAAUAUGCAGAAGGCAACAUCUAACUCUGUAUUUGUGAGCAGAAUUCUUCAAAACCUUCUUGUCUAAAUGAAUCUCCUAACAAUAGAAUAUAUAAUUCUAUUAUAUAAGUAUUUCUUUAGUUAUAGAAAUACUUCCUACUGCAUCCACAUGAAUUAAUUUUUCUGUGUAAAAUACUCAUUUCUGCAACUGAAAUUAUUAGAAAUUACGUUUAAAAAGCUUGAAGACUGAAUUGAAAUAGGGAAUUUAUUUGCCACUAGCUAAAAUACAUCUCUAGCGCACAUGUAAUCUUCAACAUGUAUGUCUUGCGUGUCUUGCCACAUACUGUAGUUCACUUCCAGAGAUUUUAAUUACCACUGCUUGUUAAUCUUACUUCACUCAAGCUGUUUCAAUGCUGAUUAAAAUGUUCCUUCUUUUGCCCCUGCAUUUAGAAUCCUCUCUGGCAUACCACACUACGUACACUGACCAGAAUAUUGAAAAGUUAGUUUUAACCAGAAAUUAAGUAGUACAACUGAUUACAACAGCAAGUGAAUGCAAUAUAUUUCUUUAUGGAGUCAGCACUAUUCUUCAUCAGACAAAGACGUGCUGUCUUUGCUCAUGGCUGUCCAUUUCUCUCUGUGACAAAAUAUUUAUUGGACAUAUACUCUAACAGCACGUAUCAUUUACCCCUCAAAUACCUCUGAGGAAGUCAGGGGAAACAUUCAUCAUUAGAGUGUCUUACUUUAUCUGCACAAUUUGGAUGGCAUUUUCUUGGCAUUCAUACAACUGGCAAUGAAAUGAGAGGAUGGUACACAUUCAUUCUCUCAGUUUUUCUGUUCAGCAAGAUCAAUGGCUUGUUUUCUGGCUCAGUACAAAGAAGUAAUAUUUAUCAUAUUAUCUAUUAAAAUAAUCUUGUUCUUUUCUCUGAGAAUAAACAGGCCUCCUAUCCAGUCCAUCUGGUAAAUAUUAGCAUCUUCCUAAGCAUUCCUAGGCAUUCCAUCAUUUUUUAAAUAUAUUCCAGAAUAAUAGAAGUGAUGAUGUUGCAGUUUAACAUAUCCUAGGUUUUGAUACUACUAUCGCCUGUCUGAAGAGCAUCACUUCUUCUAAAUCAUCUUCCAACUCAAGUGACUCUUUUGGAAGUUUACAAGCUUUCAUCUCUUCCACAGAUAUAAAAGUAAAAAGUUCUCAUUUGCAAACACUGGCUUCAAGUAGAAAGUAUCAGCUAAAUAUAUAACUGUGAAACAUCCAUUCAAAAUGGUCAAAUUUUACACAUUUUAACCAGGUUUCUUAAGUUACAGAAUAUACCUGCUAAUUGAUUUGUGGUGGUGGAGAACAACCUGUAUUUAAACAGAACACCCUACUUCUGCUUUCGAAACUUUUUUGUAUAAAUCUGCAAAUUUACAAUGCACUACAGUCUAAUAAGUUAAUCAUGCAGGAUGAAGUUUUAAAGCCUUUUUACCCAAAGAAUAAAGCACACUGUGCUGGGAUAAAGAUUGCUGUCAGAAAGGUUAAGCAUAAACCAAAUUCCCAUGGCAAAUACACAGAUAACUGGUUGUAUUAGGAAGGUGUCUUGCACAAAAAGAGGAUAUACAAACAAAUAUUAACUACCAAAUUAGACAAAUAUGAGAACUGUAGUUCUUUUUUGUUUGUUUGCUUCAAUUUUCGUUAUAAAGACUAACCGCAAUUACAUGGAUAUUGCAACUUUAUAACAGAGGGAUUAGAAUGCUACAAGCAGAACAGGUUAGAGAGACUCCUUUGAUAACAUCUGCAAAUUAGCUAGACAUGAAGACCAUCUAGGGACAAUCUUUAAGCCAGAAGGCAUUAUUUUUUCAGAAUUGUGAAGAGCAGGUGAACUUCCAAGAGACUAGAAAAAUCCAAAGCAAUUGCUUAUCUUUGAAAAUGGGAGAAAACAGUAAACAAUGAAUUGCAGGACAGUCAGCCUAUCUUGAGUUUUCAGAAAACAGUAACUGAAGUGAGUACACAAUAAGGAUGGAAUCACCUCUCCUAUGAGGAAAGGUUGAGGGAACUGGGAUUGUUUAGCUUGGAAAAGAGAAGGCUCCGGUGAGACCUCAUUGUGGCCUUCCAAUAUUGGAAGGGAGUGUAAAAACAGGAGAGGGAACAACUGUUUACAUGAAUAGUGAUAGGACAAGGGGGAAUGGUUUUAAAUGGAGACAGGGGAGGUUUAGGUUAGAUAUUAGGAAGAAGUUUUCCACACAGAGAGUGCUGACGCACUGGAACAGGUUGCCCAAGGAGGCUGUGGAUGCCCCAUCCCUGGAGGCAUUCAAGGCCAGGCUGGAUGUGUCUCUGGGCAGCCUGGUCUGCUGGUUGGCAACCCUGCACAUAGCAGGGGGGUUGAAACUAGAUGAUCAUUGUGGUCCUUUUCAACCCAGGCCAUUCUAUGAUACUAUGAUUCUAACCAUCUUCUUUUGAGUAGUGCCCAGUGUUAGGACCAGAGAAAACAGGAAAAACUGGAGCACAAGAGGCUCUGUCUUUUUCACCAGGAUUUUGAAAUCCAAGCCCCAAGUUAUGCAAAUUAUCAUCUACAGAAAUUGAAUUUAAGAAGAGUAUUAGAAAACAAAGGCAGAUAGUUACCUACAGUUCCUUCUCUCCAACUACAACGAGCUGAGGAACUCAGCAGGGUCUUGUUUCUAAGCCUGGUACUAUAUCAAUAUUUUUCUUAAUAAAUUUAGUAAUCAUUUUAAAUUUGGAGAUGGCAUCACCACAGGUAAAACUACAAACGUGAAUCCUGUUAACUGAGGAUGUCAUAAAAAAAACAACAGAGCAGAACAAGUCCAAAGUACCACAUCCAGGAAAACAAGCAACAGAAACAAGGCAGAAGCCAAAUCACUGCAUGCAUCAGUUGUGUAAAUGCUAGACAACAGUUCUGCUAAGAGGGACGUAAGUGGGUCACAUGCUGAAUCUGAAGCAAACAACUCAGCAGGCAUCAUCAUCCUGCUGACACAAACAGAAGCACUGUAUAGAGGACACCUGAAUUAUUCUGCUCUCUUCAGGACUACUAAAGUGUAAGGUAACACAACAAAUAAACUUCUGUGCAUCCCAUUUAGAAACAUUUAGAGUUCAGAAAACACCAAGAAAGAUCACAACUUUGGAACACAUAACUAGUGAAAGAUAACUAAUGUAAAUGGCAUCAUAAACUUGGAAUAUCAAUGAUAGGACAAAAUUGCAGCCAAUAGUAGGCAGCAGAUUGCCAGAAAAAGAAUCAAUUUCCUACUUAGUAGCUGUAUCACAAGAAGGAUGAAAAAGUAGAUAGAUUUAUUGAGACAUAAAGAAACAUGUUUUUAACUGCAAGGAUAAAGAAGUAUUGGAGUAAAUCAAAUAGAGGACUUGUUGAAUUUCCCUAACUACAACAGUGCAAACAGGUUAGCCAGAAACCUGUACAGUCAAUUUGGGUACAGCAAGUUCUCCCUUGGGACGUCUCAAAUCUCUUCUAUAGUUCUUUUGAUUAAGCCUUCCUUGUAUGACUCAUCUAAGGUACUCUAAAGGUUUUUCACUGUCAGCACUUCUGUCUGGUCUUAGCUGAAAGAUAAGUAAAAGGAAGAGAGUCAUUCUAACAUAAAACUGAAUGUAAGUCCAAGAAUAUUUUAGAAAAGGAAAAGUGCUUGCUUAAUGGAAAAAUUAAAGUCAGUAAAAUUUCCUGAGUGGGGUGACUAUUAAGAGAUAAAUCGUUUAUUGAAAAGACAGACUGAUUAGCUUUGUCUAUCUCAGCAGGGCAUUAGCAGAAUUGAUAUCCCCAAAAACACACUUUCUCCUUCAUAGGCAACUCAGAAUCUUGUUGGCCAAUAUUCUGUCAUACCAUUAAGAUGUAUAUACGCUCAUUCCAAACCAACAAUAUGAUGGAACUUAUUACUGAAACAGCUUCUUAGUGACGUCAUGGAUUACAUCUUUUUUUACUCUCAUUGAACAGACCUUCCUGAUGUGAUGCUGGAGAUGCCUAAGGAGGGAUGCCUCUAUCUGCAUCUUCCAUAACUCAAUCUGCUCUAGGAAUACAUGGUUUUGCUUAAACAGGCAUGCCCAUAUAAAUAAAAAUAACAACAACAAAACCAAACAAACCCACAAAUACUAGCCCAGUUCAAGAGAAGCUGUCAUAAAGUAAGAAAAUAAAAGCCAACCAAAACAUGUUAGCCCACACCACCUUCUGAAGCAGUCUUGACUGUAAACAUUUAGAGAAAGGAUUACAACUUAUUAUGCAGCUGAUGCUUAAAAAAUCAACAUGAAGUGAGUAGGCAAGGGUGGCCAUGGAGAAUGCUAACUACUUAUUAAGAGGACUACAUUUAUAUCCAUUAAGCUAGGUUAGAAGCAAUACUUUACGCUAUACUUUUUAAAAUCACAGAUAGCGUUCAUGAUACUACAGUAUUUCAGUGGACUGUUGGUUUCGGUGUCUUACUGAAAAAUUAUUUCACUACUCAGUUGCACAAACUUAGUGGACAUUAGACAAUCCCAGUUCGAAUUGAUCUUCAAUGAAACAAACGUAAUUAUAAUGAACAAUGAGGUAGCUUAAGUGAAGAAGCGUAGAAUCUAAGAAUGAGGGACGUCUCAUUUUUUGAAUCUUAGACCCAUUUAAUUUUCUGUUCUACAAAGUGAGGUUCAAGGAAAAUCUCCAGUUCUGUAUCUUUUCCAUUAAUUAAAUAUAUAUAUAUUUAUGUCAAAUGUGAAGCUAUGUUUUUAAAAAUAAAAAUAAAAUUCUCCUUAGUACUUGAAGAGAGCUGUCAUAUGGGUUGACAAAAUACUGGGCUGCUUCUCUGUCGAAGUCAUUUCACAACUAUGAAAGAUGAAAAAAUAAUUAAUUUAACAAGUUUUUCUAUAUUAUUCUUUAUGAAUCAUUCACAAUUUCUCAGAUAAGGUUGUUAUUUAAAGUCUUAUUUCUCUGAAAUAUGCAUUUAGAAGUCUGGGAUUAUUCAAUAUUUAAGAGUGUUCCUAGUCUUGGAAGAGAUGCAACACUCAGAAGCUGUUCCUGAACAGAUAAGGAACAGCUAACAGUAAAGACACGAUGCUCAGCCAAUGUUUAAUUACUUAUUUUCUAUAAAUAUCUCAAAAAGACAUUCAAUUUUCUGAGAAGUCAUCUCAACAUUUUAUUCUUAUAUUAAUAUUUUCAAAAAAGAACCCAAAAAAACCACCCCUAACUAAGAAUUCCAAACAAGCUGAAGCCAAAAGUUAAAUUAAAGAUCACACUUAUUUGCAGGAAAUAUUUCUAUCUUCCUCGAGACAUUCAAAGACAAAAUUUGACUUCUGUCUUGCAAACUAACUCAAGAACAAGUAUGUCGAUCUUGUUUGACGUUCCAAACAUUGAAUUAGGAAGUAAUGCAAGCAAAAAAAUCCAAUGCCUGAAAUUGUUUCCAUUCAACCAGUAUUUGGAUCCCAAGAAGUUUUUGCAGAACAUCAUGAAGCUGCUUGAUAACCAAAAUGCAGAAAAACUGAGGGCAAAAUUUCCUUGCAGUAACUUUCCUAUUUGUUCCCAACGUAGCUGUCGUUUUGCCAUUGUCUGUCCCAGCUUCCCAUACGUCUGUUUCUCCCACAAAAAAGUCUCUGCACUUUCUCUGACACCAUGUCCUAUGAAUAGAAAGUCUCUCCCUGGGGCCAUCUGCAAAAAGCAGCUUUCUCCUCUGUAUGAUUCCCCUAUGAUUUUAUAGUUUAACUAUUGCAAUUGGGAUGAUGUAACACAAUGCAAAACAAACAGAUCGGCAAGAGAUGUAAAGCAUGGCCAGGCCUAAACUGGAAACCAUCACUGCCAGAAGUGUUGUGGGGCUCACAGCUGCUGACAUCGCUCCUGGGAUGCGUGCGCGCUGAAGCUUUGCUGGCAGCUGCACUGCUGGCCGAGGUUUGUAGCAUGUGGUUCUAUUUAGGUGCCACAAGCUGGGCUUUGUUUGCUUACUCCCCGUUUACAUGUGCCUGCAUGCAAACCUGUGGAGAUAAAAGGUAAUUCUGGUUGCCAAUACCCUGUUGUGUAGAUCAGGC
rnacentral:lncRNA from 1 species